rnacentral:lncRNA from 1 species
AUGGCUGAAGUCACCAUCGACCAGUCCAAGCUGCCGGGAGUCAAGGAAGUGUGCCGAGAUUUUGCUGUCCUGGAGGACCACUCCUUGGCCCACAGCCUGCAGGAACAAGAGAUUGAGCAUCAUUUGGCAUCGAAUGUUCAACGGAACCGUUUGGUCCAGCAUGAUCUGCAGGUGGCUAAGCAGCUUCAAGAGGAAGAUCUGAAAGCCCAGGCUCAGCUGCAGAAGCGCUAUAAAGACCUUGAACAGCAAGACUGUGAAAUUGCUCAGGAGAUUCAGGAGAAGCUGGCUAUUGAGGCAGAGAGACGACGGAUUCAGGAGAAGAAGGAUGAGGACAUUGCUCGACUCUUGCAAGAAAAGGAGUUACAGGAAGAGAAAAAGCGAAAGAAACACUUUCCAGAGUCUUCUGGAGUCAGUGCUUAUGGUGAUAGUUACUAUUAUGAAGAUGGAGACCAGCCACGGUCAAGGAGGGCAAGGGAGUUGGGUUCAGGAAGCUCAAGGCCUUGUAGACUCCAACAUGAGGAAAAGACUGUGAAGCACAGGAGGGAGAGACCUAGACAUCCCCAGGAGAACUUGGGAGGACCGGAAGAGCACUGUUCGUCAGAGAAACCUCCGUCACCUUCUAGCUCGGGUCAAGUGAGGGAUGAUCCCCAAGUUAACACUGAGCCCGAAAGAAAACGCUGUGGCCACGAGAGGCUCCGGAGACCUCCCCUCCCCAAGAUCAGCGGUGAGGUGUUUCUGAGCACCGAAUCGGAUGACUGGGAGGCUCACUCUAGCCAUCGAACUCGGAACUGGGAAAAACAGUUCAAACAGCAAGACCAGCUCUCUCCCAAAACCUCACGGAGCGCGGGGCUUCCCUGCAAGGAAGCCGUUUAUAGGAGGGACCAUGGGCAAGGUGAGCACAGAGAGAGGAAACGCAGGCCCCGGACCCCUCCCUUCUCAGAGAGUGAGGAGCAGCUCCCGCUCCGAGACACAGGAAUGAAGCCCAGAGUGAUGAAAGAAGCAGUUUCUACUCCUUCACGAGUGACCCACAGAGAUCAGGAAUGGUAUGAUGCUGAAAUUGCCAGAAAACUUCAAGAAGAAGAAAUUUUGGCCACCCAGGUGGACAUGAGAGCAGCUCAAGUUGCUCAGGAUGAGGAAAUUGCUAGACUCCUAAUGGCUGAAGAAAAGAAAGCUUACAAGAAAGCCAGGGAGCGGGAGAAAUCAUCUUUGGACAAAAGAAAGCAUGACCCUGAGUGGAAGCCCAAAACAGCUAAAUCAGCACACUCAAAGUCAAAAGAGAGUGAUGAACCUCACCGUUCUAAGAAUGACAGACCAGCACGGCCACCACCACCUGCCAUGACAGAUGCUGAGGGUUUGGAUUACACUCCUUCUGGAAACCAGCAUAAUUCCACACGUCACUACUCAAAGUCAGAGUCUUCUCAUAAAGGUUUCCAUUAUAAACCGUAAAAACCUAGGAAUCUGCCUUGAAAACGGACUCACUGUAGCAAAAUUACUGGAUGAUACAGAACACAUUCCACGCUUAUUUUUUUCUUCCUCUAUUUUGUAUUCCUGAGAUUUAUCCUCAAGUGUUUUUUGGACCAUGAGUAUUUUUCAUUCAUUUAAAAUAUU